rnacentral:rRNA from 1 species
UACGUAGGGUCCGAGCGUUGUCCGGAAUUACUGGGCGUAAAGGGCUCGUAGGCGGCCAACUAAGUCGGAUGUGAAAUCCCCAGGCUCAACCUGGGAACUGCAUCCGAUACUGGAUGGCUUGAAUUCGGGAGAGGGAUGCAGAAUUCCAGGUGUAGCGGUGAAAUGCGUAGAUAUCUGGAGGAAUACCGGUGGCGAAGGCGGCAUCCUGGACCGACAUUGACGCUGAGGAGCGAAAGCCAGGGGAGCAAACGGG